rnacentral:rRNA from 1 species
UGAGGAAUAUUGGACAAUGGGCGCAAGCCUGAUCCAGCCAUGCCGCGUGCAGGAAGAAGCAUCUAUGGUGUGUAAACUGCUUUUGUACGGGAAGAAACACUCCUACGUGUAGGAGCUUGACGGUACCGUAAGAAUAAGGAUCGGCUAACUCCGUGCCAGCAGCCGCGGUAAUACGGAGGAUGCAAGCGUUAUCCGGAAUCAUUGGGCUUAAAGGGUCCUUAGGCGGUUUAAUAAGUCAGUGGUGAAAGCCCAUCGCUCAACGAUGGAACGGCCAUUGAUACUGUUAGACUUGAAGUACAAAGAAGUAACUAGAAUAUGUAGGGUGGCGGUGAAAUGGUUAUUUAUUGCAUGGAAUACCAAGUGCGAAGGCAGGUUACUACUUGUGGAUGGACGCUAAUGGACGAAAGCGUGGGGAGCGAACA